CCUACGGGAUGCAGCAGUGAGGAAUAUUGGACAAUGGGCGCAAGCCUGAUCCAGCCAUGCCGCGUGCAGGAUGACGGUCCUAUGGAUUGUAAACUGCUUUUGUACAGGAAGAAACCCUUUCACGUGUGGAAGAUUGACGGUACUGUAAGAAUAAGGAUCGGCUAACUCCGUGCCAGCAGCCGCGGUAAUACGGAGGAUCCAAGCGUUAUCCGGAAUCAUUGGGUUUAAAGGGUCCGUAGGCGGUUUAGUAAGUCAGUGGUGAAAGCCCAUCGCUCAACGGUGGAACGGCCAUUGAUACUGCUAGACUUGAAUUAUUAGGAAGUAACUAGAAUAUGUAGUGUAGCGGUGAAAUGCUUAGAGAUUACAUGGAAUACCAAUUGCGAAGGCAGGUUACUACUAAUGGAUUGACGCUGAUGGACGAAAGCGUGGGUAGCGAACAGGAUUAGAUACCCUGGUAGUCCACGCCGUAAACGAUGGAUACUAGCUGUUGGGCGCAAGUUCAGUGGNGUAGACGAAGUAGAGUAAGUAUACCACCGUCGGGUAGGUACGGUUCGUCGAAGAAGUAGAAACGUAACGAAAGUAGUAAGUUAGUACGGACGUGAGACGUACGACGACGGACGACGACGAGGGGAGGAGG
rnacentral:rRNA from 1 species